ACCCGCUGAACUUAAGCAUAUCAAUAAGCGGAGGAAAAGAAACCAACAGGGAUUGCCCUAGUAACGGCGAGUGAAGCGGCAAGAGCUCAAAUUUGAAAUCUGGCUCCUUCGGGGUCCGAGUUGUAAUUUGCAGAGGGUGCUUCGGCGUUGGCUGUGGUCUAAGUUCCUUGGAACAGGACGUCGCAGAGGGUGAGAAUCCCGUAUGUGGCCGCCAGUCUCCGCCGUGUGAAGCCCCUUCGACGAGUCGAGUUGUUUGGGAAUGCAGCUCUAAAUGGGAGGUAAAUUUCUUCUAAAGCUAAAUACUGGCCAGAGACCGAUAGCGCACAAGUAGAGUGAUCGAAAGAUGAAAAGCACUUUGGAAAGAGAGUCAAAAAGCACGUGAAAUUGUUGAAAGGGAAGCGCUUGCAGCCAGACUUGCCUGUAGUUGCUCAUCCGGGCCCUCGCCCGGUGCACUCUUCUAUGGUCAGGCCAGCAUCAGUCCGGGCGGUCGGAGAAAUGGCCGCUAAAUGUGCCUCUCCUCGGGGAGUGCUUAUAGGGCGGUCGCCAUGCGACCGGCCCGGACUGAGGUCCGCGCAUCUGCUAGGAUGCUGGCGUAAUGGCUGU
rnacentral:rRNA from 1 species